rnacentral:rRNA from 1 species
AUUCGCGGCCUAUCAGCUUGUUGGUGGGGUAAUGGCCUACCAAGGCGACGACGGGUAGCCGGCCUGAGAGGGCGACCGGCCACACUGGGACUGAGACACGGCCCAGACUCCUACGGGAGGCAGCAGUGGGGAAUAUUGCACAAUGGGGGAAACCCUGAUGCAGCGACGCAGCGUGCGGGAUGACGGCCUUCGGGUUGUAAACCGCUUUCAGCAGGGAAGAAGCGUAAGUGACGGUACCUGCAGAAGAAGUACCGGCUAACUACGUGCCAGCAGCCGCGGUAAUACGUAGGGUACGAGCGUUGUCCGGAAUUAUUGGGCGUAAAGAGCUCGUAGGUGGUUGGUCACGUCUGCUGUGGAAACGCAACGCUUAACGUUGCGCGGGCAGUGGGUACGGGCUGACUAGAGUGCAGUAGGGGAGUCUGGAAUUCCUGGUGUAGCGGUGAAAUGCGCAGAUAUCAGGAGGAACACCGGUGGCGAAGGCGGGACUCUGGGCUGUAACUGACACUGAGGAGCGAAAGCAUGGGGAGCGAACAGGAUUAGAUACCCUGGUAGUCCAUGCCGUAAACGUUGGGCACUAGGUGUGGGGGGCAUUCCACGUUCUCCGCGCCGUAGCUAACGCAUUAAGUGCCCCGCCUGGGGAGUACGGAAU